GGGGCUGUAAUGGUUUCGACAGGUCUUUGUUUGAUUCAAGCUGCAGUGGAGCGAUGACCAUAUCAUCAAACAAAUUUAAACGCUAAAAACACAAACAGAGGCGCAAGCCUCGCUUUCGCUGCCUAACAACGCUUGAUGCGCUGACAGCGCCCCAGCAAUUGCUUUGCCAUUUGGCAGCUGCUGUGUAACUUAAGUGGAUAAGGUGAAGCUGAUGACUGUAGGCUGAUCCCGACAAUCUUACAGAUCAAUUCAGUGAGAGGGUAGUCUGCUGUCAUUCUCACUGUCUUAUCAAUCAGCAGGAUAAACUGUAGACGCUUGAAUGUGGGACAAUUCUUGGACAGGGGUUCGAUCCCCCUCAGCUCCACUA
rnacentral:tmRNA from 1 species